rnacentral:lncRNA from 1 species
GUCACCAAGGCCAUGGACUACCCGCCCCCAUGGCCCUCAGUGCGUCCCAGUCGGGGGAACACAGGACCCUGGCACCACUACCAGAUGCCCCCAGGGUGGCGCACAUGGGGUCUCCCCCACCCGCGGGCCGGCUGUGGCCCAGGUGCGUCUCUGAGCACCUGACGGGGUCGAGGCUGCUCCCUCCCUCCGUGGGUAGGUGCAGCCUGACUCCCAGGCUCUCGGCUCAGGCGGGUUGGCUGGACAGGGCCCCGACCGGUGACUCCAGCAGAUUUGAGCCCCCUCCGUGAACAGUCGCGGUGCACCCCCCAGAGCGAUGCCGGGACCCGCUGCUCGCCCGUCUCUGACAGGGUUUGUAGGUGUGUAUCGGAAUCAGGAUCCAAACUCACUGCCCUCACCGACCUCGAGGGCAACGUGUCUUGGUCGCCCCCUUCGUCUCCAGGGCAUCCUAGGGAUCUCGCCGUCCAGUGCCUCCAUGGGCCCGCCUGGCCUGGCUGGACAGGUUCCUCCAUCCCUGCGCUUCCUGAAUCCAGGGCUCUGUUCCUGGGGCCGGUCAGAGGCAGAGCCUCUGGGGAGGCCCACGGCACCCGGCGCCCUCCUCUGGGGACAGCUGGAUCCACAGGUUCAGGACCUCUGCUGGCAGCUCCUGUUCUGGGGGGAGUGGUGUCCUACUCUGUCUUCCGUGUGCGUCAGCCCGCUGGACGCCCUGUAGGGAGAGCUCUCCUGUGAGCUGUCCAGCCCCGGCGGGCGAGGGCUGGUGCAGGGAGCCAGGCGAAGGCCCACUCUGUUUCCCUGCAGGGCCCCCGGCCACGGCAGGGCCUAAGCCCCUGCGAGGGACUCAAAAUGCUCUUCCGAGCCUUGUUCCAUGUUCUUCCACUGGUCGUGGGCAUUAUCUGCCCGAUGCCCACUGGACCCCCGGCCACUGGGAGCCUUCAGAGCCAGCCGCUCGACCUACCGCAGGAUGGCAGCGUGACUUGCUGGAGGCAGAGGGCGCUCCAGGAGCCUUCGAGGACCACCGUGCGCUGGGCACUCUUUGUCCUGCCCACCCUGGGAGGCAGCCGCCUGCCCCAAGAGCCCUGGGUCCCGGAGAGGAAGGGCUGGGAGGCUGCCCGUGGGGUCCAGGGGCACAGGUGUCCUGUCCUUGGUUAGAAACACGCAAGCUCAGAAGUCCCAGCUGCCACCUCCAAGGAGAUCUCAGAAUCCCCGCCAGUCCCUGAUUUCCUGCUGUGUCUCCUCACACCUGGGCCACCCUGGUCCCUCACACCUGGGCCACCCUGGUCCCUCACACCUGGGCCACCCUGGUCCCUCAGACCUGGUCCAUCCUGGUCCCUCAGACCUGGGCCACACUGGUCCCUCACACCUGGGCCACCCUGGUCACUCACACCUGGGCCACCCUGGUCCCUCACACCUGGGCCACCCUGGUCCCUCACACCUGGGCCACCCUGGUCCCUCACACCUGGGCCACCCUGGUCCCUCACACCUGGGCCACCCUGGUCCCUCACAN